rnacentral:rRNA from 1 species
UACGUAGGGGGCAAGCGUUGUCCGGAUUUAUUGGGCGUAAAGAGCGUGUAGGCGGCCUGGUAGGUCAGUUGUGAAAACUCGAGGCUCAACCUCGAGACGCCGAUUGAAACCACCAGGCUAGAGUCCGGAAGAGGAGAGUGGAAUUCCCGGUGUAGCGGUGAAAUGCGCAGAUAUCGGGAGGAACACCAGUGGCGAAGGCGGCGACCUGGACGGACACUGACGCUGAGACGCGAAAGCGUGGGGAGCAAACAGG